UGCUGCUGAUUGGUUCGGGCAGCCACAUAUUGAACUAAAGCUCCACCUUGUACCUUUCUCUCAAUGAACUCUUUUAAACUGGCACAAUCGUUCGUCUCGUGUCCCGACGCUUGGUGGUAGUCGCGAUACUUGCGGGGAUUUCCCUUUCCGGGCUUGAUGUUAUCUCGUGGUGGCUCAAAAAUAGGUUGAUUUCUAAUCUGAUCUAAGAUAACAGCCUUAUCGGCGUUGAGCGCCGUGAAAGUCCUGUUUACUCUCUGGGGUGGAGCGGACGAACGUCCUCCACCCUGCCUCCAAUUGUUAUACCUUCUCGACCCGCCUUCAUGACGGUCUUUGUGUCCUUCACUCUUUUUCUG
rnacentral:lncRNA from 1 species